rnacentral:rRNA from 1 species
UACGUAGGGACCGAGCGUUGUCCGGAAUUAUUGGGCGUAAAGGGCGCGUAGGCGGUCGGAUAAGUCUUGUGUGAAAUCUUCGGGCUCAACUCGAAGUCUGCACAGGAAACUAUCUGGCUUGAGUGUGGGAGAGGUGAGUGGAAUUCCUGGUGUAGCGGUGAAAUGCGUAGAUAUCAGGAGGAACACCUGUGGCGAAAGCGGCUCACUGGACCACAACUGACGCUGAGGCGCGAAAGCUAGGGGAGCAAACAGG